CAAUUUUCUGCCACCGAAUACAUUAGCAUGGGAUAAUGGAAUAGGACCCUGUCCUCCUAUUUUCAGUUGGUUUUGGCAGCGCGAGGACUAGGGUAAUGAUUAAUAGGGAUAGUUGGGGGCAUUAAUAUUUAAUUGUCAGAGGUGAAAUUCUUGGAUUUAUGAAAGAUUAACUUCUGCGAAAGCAUCUGCCAAGGAUGUUUUCAUUAAUCAAGAACGAAAGUUAGGGGAUCGAAGACGAUCAGAUACCGUCGUAGUCUUAACCAUAAACGAUGCCGACCAGCGAUUAGGAGACGUUGAAUACAAAACACCACCAUCGGCGCGGUCGUCCUUGGCGUCUCGGUCCUUCAGCCGGGGCGCGGGGGCGGCUUAGCCCGGUGGCACCGGUGAAUGACUCCCCUACCAGCUUGUGAGA
rnacentral:rRNA from 1 species